AGCGAACGCUGGCGGCAGGCCUAACACAUGCAAGUCGAACGAACCUUUCGGGGUUAGUGGCGGACGGGUGAGUAACACGUGGGAACGUGCCUUUAGGUUCGGAAUAACUCAGGGAAACUUGUGCUAAUACCGAAUGUGCCCUUCGGGGGAAAGAUUAAUCGCCUUUAGAGCGGCCCGCGUCUGAUUAGCUAGUUGGUUGAGGUAAUGGCUCACCAAGGCGACGAUCAGUAGCUGGUCUGAGAGGAUGAUCAGCCACAUUGGGACUGAGACACGGCCCAAACUCCUACGGGAGGCAGCAGUGGGGAAUCUUGCGCAAUGGGCGAAAGCCUGACGCAGCCAUGCCGCGUGAAUGGUGAAGGUCCUAGGAUUGUAAAAUUCUUUCACCGGGGACGAUAAUGACGGUACCCGGAGAAGAAGCCCCGGCUAACUUCGUG
rnacentral:rRNA from 1 species